rnacentral:rRNA from 1 species
GAUGAACGCUGGCGGCGUGCCUAAUACAUGCAAGUCGAGCGAACAGACGAGGAGCUUGCUCCUCUGCCGUUAGCGGCGGACGGGUGAGUAACACGUGGAUCACCUACCUAUAAUACUUGGAUAACUUCGGGAAACCGGAGCUACUACCGGAUAAUAUAUUGAACCGCAUGGUUCAAUAGUGAAAGACGGUUUUGCUGUCACUUAUAGCUGAAUCCGCGCCGCAUUAGCUAGUUGGUAAGGUAACGGCUUACCAAGGCAACGAUGCGUAGCCGACCUGAGAGGGUGAUCGGCCACACUGGAACUGAGACACGGUCCAGACUCCUACGGGAGGCAGCAGUAGGGAAUCUUCCGCAAUGGGCGAAAGCCUGACGGAGCAACGCCGCGUGAGUGAUGAAGGUCUUCGGAUCGUAAAACUCUGUUAUUAGGGAAGAACAAAUGUGUAAGUAACUAUGCACGUCUUGACGGUACCUAAUCAGAAAGCCACGGCUAACUACGUG